rnacentral:rRNA from 1 species
GCAGCACGCCGCGUGAGUGAUGAAGGCCUUCGGGUCGUAAAGCUCUGUCGGGAGGGAAGAAAUGAUCGAGGGCUAAUACCUCUUGGUCUUGACGGUACCUCCGAAGGAAGCACCGGCUAACUCCGUGCCAGCAGCCGCGGUAAUACGGAGGGUGCAAGCGUUGUUCGGAAUUAUUGGGCGUAAAGCGCGUGUAGGCGGUCUUUUAAGUCUGAUGUGAAAGCCCCGGGCUCAACCUGGGAAGUGCAUUGGAAACUGGGAGACUUGAGUACGGGAGAGGGUAGUGGAAUUCCUAGUGUAGGAGUGAAAUCCGUAGAUAUUAGGAGGAACACCGGUGGCGAAGG